CAGCAGCCACGGGAAUACGAAGGGUGCAAGCGUUACUCGGAAUUACUGGGCGUAAAGCGUGCGUAGGUGGUGGUUUAAGUCCGUUGUGAAAGCCCUGGGCUCAACCUGGGAAUUGCAGUGGAUACUGGGUCACUAGAGUGUGGUAGAGGAUAGUGGAAUUUCCGGUGUAGCAGUGAAAUGUGUAGAGAUCGGAAGGAACAUCUGUGGCGAAGGCGACUAUCUGGGCCAACACUGACACUGAGGCACGAAAGCGUGGGGAGCAAACAGGAUUAGAUACCCCGGUAGUCCCUGUCUCUUAUAA
rnacentral:rRNA from 1 species